rnacentral:tRNA from 1 species
GCCUGACUGGCUCAGUUGGUAGAGUGUGUGACUCUUAAUCUUGGGGUUGUGAGUUUGAGUCCUAUGUUGUGUG